UUCACUUACAUUCACAAUUCUGAAGCUCUCUGAUCAAACUCAGGCUUUCUAAUGAUCCAUAAUCAUUUAGGAGCCCAGUAAAAGCUAUCUGUACUUGCUUGGUGGUAUACGGUUGGGAUUGAAUUUAUAUUUAGCUCAGGUACUACACGUAAUAGGCUGGCUGUCUUCUAGCGUCCACAAUAAGUCUCGCAAGCUUGGAUGCCUUAA
rnacentral:lncRNA from 1 species